GUGCACCAGUCGCGAAUCCUUUACAAUGCACGAAAGUGUGAUAAGGUUACCCGGAGUGCUAAAAUUAAAUUUUAGCUGUUAUAGGUGUGUAAAUAACCCUAUGAGAAAGGAGAGGGCAAGGCUGGUGCCAGCCGCCGCGGUAAAACCAGCUCUUCAAGUGGUCGGGAAUAUUAUUGGGCUUAAAGUGUCCGUAGCCGGUUUAGUAAGUUCCUGGUUAAAUCUGGCAGCUUAACUGUCAGUCAGCUAGGAAUACUACUUUACUAGAGGGUGGGAAAGGUUUGAGGUACUCCAGGGGUAGCGGUGAAAUGCGAUAAGUCCUUGGGGGACCACCAGUGGCGAAGGCGUCAAACUGGAACACGCCUGACGGUGAGGGACGAAAGCCAGGGGAGCGAAC
rnacentral:rRNA from 1 species